UUCUAUAGGUUGGAUGUGGAGCAGGCAACACCAUCUUUCCCAUAUUGGGUAGUCACCCAAAUCUCUUUAUACAUGCCUGCGACUUCUCAUCAGAGGCAAUCACACUUGUUAAGUCGCGUGCAGGCUUCAAUUUAGAAAGUGUGAAUGCAUUCACUUGUGAUGUUGCAAAAAAUGACCUUAGUGAUACAAUUAUGCCUUCUUCUGUUGAUAUUGUUACAUUGGUGAGUUGCAGAUUUGGCUCUUUUCAUUGUGUUAAGUUUUCAGCUGACGAAUACAAUGUAAUUGUGUUUUGAUCAGAUCUUUAUGUUGUCUUCUGUUUGUCCGGCCAAGAUGCCCUUGGUACUUCAGAAUAUCAAGAAAGUGCUGAAACCAAAUGGUUAUGUUCUUUUGCGUGAUUAUGCAACUGGAGACUAUGUUCAAGAAGAGUUGCAAAAGAGAAAUCAGAUGAUUACUGAG